CUUUGUUUACAAAAUCACAUACGUCCUUUGGAUAAGUACCCGAGAUUUGUCCGAUCCGAGUCAUCAUUAGCCUCAUCAGCGAUCUGUUGUAGUCGUUCUAGUGCUUUUUCUAUUCUGCUAAAUGUGUCGCCACAAAAGUCCGCAAGUAUUCCUAUAUUCACCUCGAUAUUCGCCAUCAGAAACAUCAAUGUGCGCUCAUCCGGAAAGCCGUGCAACAAUGGACAAUUCAUCAUCCUUUACUUCCACCGCUUCCACCACACCGCUGCAUCACCUGCCUACCGAAACCUCACAACAACGGGACCAGCCAGGAGACCAGUGCUAUUCAUCACAUUAGCAUAAGGCACAGGAAGGCUCUCCAACGCAAUCAGCGACGCAUUGAUAAAUAAAAAAAUACGGCGGUAAACACAGUACGAUCACACGAAGCGCCGGAGGUCCGUUCCAAUAGAAAUCUCUACUUAGGGAGAUACGGUAGUUUAUUGAAGAACACUGCCAGGCAAAAAUUGGAAUGGUGCCCUAUAGUGUCACGAGAAGUCAUAGCUUGGAGAAUCCGGAGCAUACCAGUUUGAGGUAGCCGUCAGCGACAAUGGCAAUACAGCAUAUUGUAUGGAAAUUAAGGAGAGCCAGCAACAGUCAGCAAGAUGUUGCGAAUGCUUCAUCGUAAUUCCACGUCUGGGUACCCUUUUUCACGAUUUUCUAUUUGGACAGCUAGGCUUUCGCGUGAAGUGUCAAGGGUGUAAAAGAAAAAACAAUCAUCCAUUAGAUUUAGCUGUUCACAAUAUUUCGGAACUGCAGCGCACCCAUCGUACGGAUCGUUGGCCACAUUUCUGGAAGACGGAACAACAUUGAAACUCCUCCCAGUGAAUGCAUGAUGCAUGGCAGAUGAUAAUCUUAAGCUAAAUCUUGCGCUGAUUGCAAGCAAUUGGAGGACUGGGCUCUGUCAACUCCAGCAAACUUUGAUACUAGUGAAUAGACGGAAAAUAAUUUGGACAUUGAUGAAGAUCGAACUUUCGACACCGCCCCGCCAGUGCUGAGGACCAAAGUUGAAAAAGAAGUGUCUAUGAGUAGCAAGAUCGAAGACAUUGAAUGACCAAUCACUAGGAAAGCAACUUCAUAUAAUAUUCGACCACAUGUAGUAAAAACAGCACUGUAACGAAGAGUUUCAAUAAGAAAGACUGGCGGACAACAGUACCGUAGAUCCCAAGCGUGCCACUGACUUCUAGGAGAUCUGAGACCCAACGGAAGUAAAUCGUACGCGUCUAAUCCUGGCUGAAGAAGAUCCAAUCAAAGCUUUGUGCUUUCUGUGCGGCAGUACAGGUUUGAACAGGAUUCUAUUCUGGGUUUGCUGCUGUGAAUCAUGCCGUCAGUAUUGUGUAAAGAACAAGCACAACGGUAUCGUUGGAUAAGACCAACUCUGAUCAAAUGAAAGUUACCUGCUUCGCAAUGAACUUCCUCCAUAGCUUCCGGGAUUGGGCGAAUUCUAGACAAUGGAAGAGAUUGUCGCAGAUGCAUGAACACUUGUUUUUCAACUGUUUCUAUUCCGGUGUUUAACUAGUGUUAUAUCUUCUGUUGUGAUUCCUUCACCUGCGCUUCCACCGCCAUCACCUGCAGUAGAAGUUUUAAUCAAUAAAAAAAAAUGGACGAAAGUGAUGACCAACCAUUGGCAGCAACCGUUGAUCCUCUUUUUUUACCCCUUGGAUGAUAUCCGCAAGGUGGAGUGAAAAAUACAUUUUGAAUGAUUUUGCAAUCCGCACCACUAUCUUGAUUGCUGUUCACAUGUGUGCCCUAAGAAAAGGCAAUUUCAUUUCUCUCUGUGAGUAACUUUACUGGUACAUUGUGACGGCAUGGGCCUUCUUGAUUUGCUUAGGCUAAAGAUUAUCACCCUGUGCUUGGCGAUAUCAAUUCAUGUAUGGAUAGUCCUCAUCCCUUUGUUGAGGUGACGUUUUCUCUAAACUUUUAUCGAUCAUUCAUGACGUAGCCGGAAGCCGUAGAAUAUUAGGAAACAAAUCAAACGCAAUAGAUUGGAACAGUAACGGCAGGAUUUCAUAAAAAAUAUGUAUAUGGGCAAACUGUGAAAUCCUGCUGUUUCCAUCAUGCCGUUCUAUUACAUACGUGCCGCUUAACGAGACUCCG